rnacentral:misc_RNA from 1 species
GAUGAAGAACGUAGCGAAAUGCGAUAAGUAAUGUGGAUUGCAGAAUUCAGUGAAUCAUCGAAUCUUUGAACGCACCUUGCGCCCUUUGGCUAUUCCGAAGGGCAUGCCUGUUUGAGUAUCAUGAACAUCUCAACUCCUCGCGGUUUGCCCGUGACGAGCUUGGACUUUGGGGGUCUUGCCGGCCUGUGGGUCGGCUCCUCUCAAAUGAAUCAGCUUGCCGGUGUUUGGUGGCGUCACAGGUGUGAUAACUAUCUACGCUUGUGGUUUUCCGCCAGGUAACCUCCAGCAAUGGGGGUUCACUGGAGCUCACAAAUGUCUUUCCUCGGUGAGGACAGCUUUUUGAACGUUUGAUCUCAAAUCAGGUAGGACUACCCGCUGAACUUAAGCAUAUCAAUAAGCGGAGGA